ACAAGGUGCUGCAUGGCUGUCGUCAGCUCGUGCCGUGAGGUGUUGGGUUAAGUCCUAUAACGAGCGAAACCCUUUUACUUAAUUGCCAGCAUGUAAUGGUGGGGACUUUAAGUAGACUGCCCGUGUAAGCGGGAGGAAGGAGAGGAUGAGGUCAAGUCAUCAUGGCCUUUAUGCCCAGGGCUACACACGUACUACAAUGGCAUGUACAAAGGGAAGCUACUUGGUAACAAGAUGCAAAUCUCAAAAGCAUGUCUCAGUUCGGAUUGGGGUCUGCAAUUCGACCUCAUGAAGUUGGAAUCGCUAGUAAUCGCGUAUCAGCAAUGACGCGGUGAAUACGUUCU
rnacentral:rRNA from 2 species